GGUGGUUCUCGGGUGAUGCUCCCCGAAAUUGGGCUCCCUCCUCUCUGGUUCCAGGUGUGUCACCCGAGAACCACA
rfam:Myotis brandtii contig251798, whole genome shotgun sequence.